rnacentral:rRNA from 1 species
UAAUUAGUGGCAGACGGGUGAGUAAUGCAUAGGAAUCUACCUAGUAGUAUAGGAUAGCCACUAGAAGUGGUGGGUAAUACUGUAUAAUCCCUGCGGGGGAAAGAUUUAUCGCUACAUGAUGAGCCUAUGUUAGAUUAGCUAGUUGGUGGGGUAAAGGCCUACCAAGGCAGUGAUCUAUAGCUGGUCUGAGAGGAUGAUCAGCCACACUGGAACUGAGACACGGUCCAGACUCCUACGGGAGGCAGCAGUGGGGAAUAUUGGACAAUGGGCGCAAGCCUGAUCCAGCUAUGCCGCGUGAGUGAGGAAGGCCUUAGGGUUGUAAAGCUCUUUCAGUGGGGAAGAUAAUGACGGUACCCACAGAAGAAGUCCCGGCAAACUCCGUGCCAGCAGCCGCGGUAAUACGGAGGGGGCAAGCGUUGUUCGGAAUUAUUGGGCGUAAAGGGCGUGUAGGUGGUUUAGUUAGUUAAAGGUGAAAUGCCAGGGCUU